GACGAACGCUGGCGGCGUGCUUAACACAUGCAAGUCGAACGCUGAAGCUCAGCUUUUGUUGGGUGGAUGAGUGGCGAACGGGUGAGUAACACGUGAGUAACCUGCCCCCUUCUUUGGGAUAACGCCCGGAAACGGGUGCUAAUACUGGAUAUUCACUGGUCUUCGCAUGGGGGUUGGUGGAAAGGGUUUUUCUGGUGGGGGAUGGGCUCGCGGCCUAUCAGCUUGUUGGUGGGGUGAUGGCCUACCAAGGCUUUGACGGGUAGCCGGCCUGAGAGGGUGACCGGUCACAGUGGGACUGAGAUACGGCCCAGACUCCUACGGGAGGCGGCAGUGGGGAAUAAUGCACAAUGGGCGCAAGCCUGAUGCAGCGACGCCGCGUGAGGGAUGGAGGCCUUCGGGUUGUGAACCUCUUUCGCUCAUGGUCAAGCCGCAACAAUGGUUGUGGUGAGGGUAGUGGGUAAAGAAGCGCCGGCUAACUACGUG
rnacentral:rRNA from 1 species